AGCCUUGAGGUGUUCGACACAUUAGAUUGCAAAUCUUAAGUAGUAAACUGACGUUUGCCGGGGCUU
rnacentral:tRNA from 2 species